AAACUCAAAGGAAUUGACGGGGGCCCGCACAAGCGGCGGAGCAUGUGGAUUAAUUCGAUGCAACGCGAAGAACCUUACCUGGGUUUGACAUGCACUGGACCGGCGUAGAGAUACGCCUUCCCUUGUGGCUGGUGCACAGGUGGUGCAUGGCUGUCGUCAGCUCGUGUCGUGAGAUGUUGGGUUAAGUCCCGCAACGAGCGCAACCCUUGUCCCAUGUUGCCAGCGGGUAAUGCCGGGGACUCGUGGGAGACUGCCGGGGUCAACUCGGAGGAAG
rnacentral:rRNA from 1 species